UUGGAGGGCAAGUCUGGUGCCAGCAGCCGCGGUAAUUCCAGCUCCAAUAGCGUAUAUUAAAGUUGUUGCAGUUAAAAAGCUCGUAGUUGAAUUUCGAGAUCAAUUUGUUGGUCGUGCCUCGGUACGUACUGGCAAUUUUGAUUUCUCCCUUCUGAAGAACCAUGAUGUCAUUAAUUUGGUGUCACGGGGAAUCAGGACCGUUACUUUGAAAAAAUUAGAGUGUUUAAAGCAGGCUCGCGCUUGAAUACAUUAGCAUGGAAUAAUGAAAUAGGACGUUUGAUUCUAUUUUGUUGGUUUCUAGGAUCGACGUAAUGAUUAAUAGGGAUAGUUGGGGGCAUUAGUAUUCAAUUGUCAGAGGUGAAAUUCUUGGAUUUAUUGAAGACUAACUACUGCGAAAGCAUUUGCCAAGGAUGUUUUCAUUAAUCAAGAACGAAAGUUAGGGGAUCGAAGACGAUCAGAUACCGUCGUAGUCUUAACCAUAAACUAUGCCGACUAGGGAUCGGAUGAUGUUAAUUUUUUAAUGACUCAUUCGGCGCCUUACGGGAAAC
rnacentral:rRNA from 1 species